CCGCCGCCCUGUGAGAGGCAACAUUUCAAACGCGAUUACAGACAGGCCUGAGCCUCCGCUGGAAUCUGAGCCCGCAGCCUUUUAAAUCUCUGUCAUGGGACAAAAGCCUUUCCACACGAUAGAGGCCAGCAGCCUGCAUGAGAAUCCACAGAUCUACCAGACUGCAAGGCAAAAAAUAGUGUGGCUGAGAAGGAUGAGAUCAAAUCCCACGGAUUCCAGCAGAUGCCACAUGUGUUGAUUUAGUGGAGAAUAUUAGACUGAUUUAGUCUAUCAAAAUCAUAAUACUGAGUCAGAGAUGGUGGAAGAAACUGACUGUUGAGUUACAGCAUCAAGACCAGAAACUUUAUCCAUGGACAACUUCUGAAUUAGGCUGAGAACAAAGCAUAACUGAGAUAUUAAUAAAAAUAUGCAAUUUCUCA